rnacentral:rRNA from 1 species
GAUGAACGCUAGCGGCAGGCCUAAUACAUGCAAGUCGGACGGGAUUUGGGAGCUUGCUCCUAAUGAGAGUGGCGCACGGGUGCGUAACACGUAUGUAACCUACCUUAAUCAGGGGGAUAGCCUCUCGAAAGAGAGAUUAACACCGCAUAACAUAUUUUUAUGGCAUCGUAGAAAUAUCAAAUAUUUAUAGGAUUAAGAUGGGCAUGCGGAACAUUAGCUAGUUGGUAAGGUAACGGCUUACCAAGGCUACGAUGUUUAGGGGAUCUGAGAGGAUGACCCCCCACACUGGUACUGAGACACGGACCAGACUCCUACGGGAGGCAGCAGUAAGGAAUAUUGGUCAAUGGGCGCAAGCCUGAACCAGCCAUGCCGCGUGCAGGAAGACGGCCCUAUGGGUUGUAAACUGCUUUUGUACCGGAAUAAACCCUUUUACGUGUAGAAGGCUGAAUGUACGGUAAGAAUAAGGAUCGGCUAACUCCGUGCCAGCCGCCGCAGUAA